ACGUUUUUUGUAAUGUGACACCGCCACAUUGUAGCGAAAGAUGCUAACUGCAAUACGUUGCGUAGAUGUCAUCUGCAGAAAAUUGCGCCGUUUUGGAAUCAGCGGCACGUGUUUUGGAGGACGAAAGCAGACGACACACGUUAUCAUAAUCAUGUGUAUUCCAAGGUUAACUACGACACUUAGAACUUUGUUGACAGGCGAUAAUAAGCCACCUGUCCAUACUCAAGAUUGUUUGAUUGUGAAUACCUUUUUUUUUCUCUCGCCCGAAAGUGCCAUUGAAACUGUGAUAUUGAUGUUUCGUUAUUUGAUGACAAUCAGUUUUGUUAACAAUGUGCUAAAUUCUUUAACUUGAGAUUCUAUGGCGUGGAUCUAGUUUAUUCAUGUACAUAUUACCCUGUUGUUUCACUGUUUCUUGUGUAGAAAAAAUGUUCACUGUUGCAAAGGGUGAAAUUACAUGGUUGUUAAUGCAUUAACAGAUUGCGCUCUUUAAUGUCUGUUUAUAUAAUUAUGUCUGUGAUAAAUUGUAAUAAUAACUGGUGCUUAUAUGGUUACUUGUAAGAUAAGGUAGUGGUUUUUUUUUCAGUUGUGAUAUUUCCUCUAUCAGAAUAAAAUACUAAUAUCUAGGUAUUUUUCUUCAAAAAAAAAAAUCUAACGUUAUUUUCCUUAUGGAUUUUAAUAUUCAUUUUGAUUGCAAAAAAUGAUUUUGCUCAUCAUUGUUAUUCAUAUUGCUGGUUUAAUUUAAUUUUCUUACAUUUGAAACCCAUUUUUGCAAUAGUCUUCUUAUUAAAAAGAUUACCCUUUUUCUUUCAUAUGUGGACGACUCAUAAAUCGUUUAAAAGGUUUACUGUUCGCAGCAUCUGUUCGCACAAGUAAUUAUAUGUAUUAUUGAAUUGUUUGCUCAGUUAUUGAGAAUAAAAUGAAAUUGAAAAUC
rnacentral:misc_RNA from 1 species